GGCUGCAUUGAAUAUUUUAAAGUUGCUGUCUGAGUUGGACCAACAAACCACAGAGAUGCCAAGAACGGGAAAUGGACCAAUGUCUGUAUGUGUGAAACAAGAAAUGGAAAGUGACCCUCUUCUCAAACCGGCUAACUCAAACACUUUGGGACAAACACUGGACAGCACUGCCUAAAAAAGGCUUUUGACUGGACCCAAACCUGAAAGCACCAGAGAAAAUCAAAUGCUUCCUAUUAAUGUAACCUAACUGUUUUAGAGUGCUACAGUCUUUACAACCUACUGUAGUGUCUAAAUCAUAACCAUUGCUUUUUCUUCAAACAGUGAUAAAUUUUUAGUUUCAUUAUGUUGUUUUGAUUGAAAUGACACUAUAAAUUCUUCAUUUUAAAGUUUCUUAAUUGUAUCUAGAACAAUAGCACAGUUUAGAAACUUUGUCUUCUGAGACUGACAUGUUAUCUGUGAACUAACUUGGGAAGAUCAUAUCCAUGUAUGUGGUUAUUUUGUUUUUAUUGAAAUAGCAAAGUUUCACUGGAAACAAAUUGUGUGCCCACCAUUUUAAAAAGUCCAACAUUUUCUCAAAGCUAGCUUAAUUAUCCAACGGUUGAAUGAAUUAAAACACUUUAGGAAUUUUAAACUUUUUUUGAUCAUUUUUGGUUAAUUUCUAGUUUUCUUGAGUGGGGGGGUAGGGGAACUCGAAUGCAACAUGACUUUAAAUGAUCUCUGAUCUAUGUUUUAAGGAUUGUGUGUAUAGAUGGCACACAGCUCACUACAUUACAGGAUAUGAUCUCAAUGUAGUGCAUAUAAAACCGCAGAUUGAUUUUCCUUGAGUGCUUUAUACUGUUUAAUUACAUCUCCAUGUAGGGCUGAGAAAAAUUACCUAUGUUUAUAUAUAAACUGUGUUGCUUUUGAUGUUGUGUUAUUGUGCACUGAAGUGUGCACAAUAAAGUUUUUUGCAUAUGGUCCAGGUAAAGCACGAUAGCCUUGCAAGUUAAGUACUGCUUCAGUUCAUUGUUUACGCUGGAAUUUUUUCUCCCCAUGGAAUGUAAGUAAAACGUAGUGUUUGUCACCAAUAAAUGGUAAUACUAAA